rnacentral:rRNA from 1 species
GACGAACGCUGGCGGCGUGCUUAACACAUGCAAGUCGAACGGAAAGGCCCUGCUUGCAGGGUACUCGAGUGGCGAACGGGCGAGUAACACGUAGGUGGUCAGCCCUGCACUUCGGGAUAAGCAUGGUCGACUGGGUCUAAUACCGGAUAGGAGCCAUUUUUAGUGUGAUGGUUGGAAAGUUUUUUCGGUGUUGGCUGAGUUCGCGGGCUAUCAGCUUGUUGGGGGGGUAAUGUGGUACCAAGGCGGCGACGGGUAGCCGGCCUGAGAGGGUGGACGGCCACAUUGGGACCGAGGGACGGCCCAGACAGCGACGGGAGGCAGCAGGGCGGAAGAUUGCACGAGGGGCGCAAGGCUGAUGCAGAGACGCUGCGUGGGGGAUGACGGUCUUAGGGUUGUAAAACCAGUGCGCUAGGGACGAAGCUUUUUUUGACGGUACCUAGACAAGAAGCACCGGCUAACUACGUG